ensembl:lncRNA
ACACUGAAGGAGUUUAUUUCUUUUGAUUGCUUUACCACCCACCUUCUAGUGAUCAGGAGAUGGAGCAACCUACUUGUUUGCAGGAAUAUGUGGUAGCCAGGAUGAGGAAAAAAGGCCGGGCUCACCUCUUUGCUUGUGGUCAGCCUGCUCCAGUUAUGUCUGGAGGACUUGGGGACCAAGCUAAUGAAUCCAGAGGCAGCAGCCCGCCAGUACUGGGACUCGGCUCUGCCAUAUACCUAUUCCUACUUGCAGCUGUGCAAGUUUAUCGCAAAUUAUAACGUAGUUGAUAAAUGACUCUGUAUCUCUUUCCCCUGUUGGAACCAAGGUAAUUUUGGAAGCAGAAAUUGCAAGAACACCACCAAGAUGAGUCUUUUCCCACUGACAGGUGCACUAAAGCUGGCUUGAGAAGAAUUUCAAGCCUGAGAGACCUUCAGAUACCCGCAGUUCAGCCUCUGCUUUCAUCUGCUCAUGGGGAACAGGUCUUCUGGACUAGGCUUUGUGAGCCUAAGUUUGUGUUUACUAGCUCUGACAUGAGUUUAGUUUAUACAGCUGUUCUGGGUUGAUAAAUGCUCUGUAAGCAAAGGGAUGUGCUGGGGGUCUAAUUCCUUCAGAUUUAGUGAAGUCUGUGUGGGAGCUCAUUGUUCUACUGGAGGAGAUGCUGCCUUUGCAGCUCAGCUGAGGUCCAGGAUUGUGUGCACAGAUUUUUUUCUGAUUUUACACAUGAUGAGGAUGACAGUUCAAACCGGUUUUCAUGGCAUGUAAUGAGUUUUCAAAUAUACAAAAUAUACAACUAUGGUACGCAAGCUGGGAGAUUUCUAUGGCUACAGAACCCUAUGAAAAGUAGCCUUGCUAUUCUUCAGCGUGGCAGGUUUAUUUGAAUAAAACCAACAAGAGGCAGCAGGUGCUGCUUUGCAUCUGAAGCAGCGUGAGGAAAUGCAUUGAGUGGAUUGCAUCUAGCUGACCUGGGAACAAAGAAAACAAGUGGCCAGAGGAGCCUGAGGCCGGAAAGACAAUGGGAGAGGCCUGCAGGAGCUGGUUCUUCCACACCCACAGCCUGUUGUAGUCUUAAGCUGACGAAACAAGGAAACUUUGAAGAAAACAGGGGGAUUGGUAGCCUUGAGCUAGCAGAAGCAAGCGAGAUCGGUGUUGGAGGGGAGCACGCCAGAGACCGAGCGCGCACUUGUGAUUUUAUCGGGGUCCGGCCUACACUCUCCGAAAGCCCGGGGCCGGCGAGUGGCACAGCGGCACAACGCCCUGAGGAAACUACCGAACGUCUGGGGGUCAAGGGGGACGUCACUGGACUGGUGAGUACGAUUUAUAUCUUCCCGUGGGUUUUUGGAGUGCGGAUUGUCAGUCUCACACGUAGGCACUGUGGUUUGGCAAGAAUAGGACACGGCCCUGUGAGCUACCUGACCUGAUCGGUGGGUUAAAGUCAAAGCUGAGCGUGAGCAGCCGCUGCAGGGAACAUGGGAAGCAGUCAGUCCAGAAUCCCUUCCUCCCCUCUUGGAUGCAUCCUUAAAAAUUGGUCAAAAUUUGGUGGUGAUUAUAGGACAAAGGGUAAAAUUAGGCAAUAUUGUAAUCAGGAGUGGCCUCAAUACAAACUGGAUGAUAUGGAACAAUGGUCAGAAAAUGGAUCCUUCAAUUAUAAUACUAUAUUGCAGUUAAUGUUAUUUUGC